AGCUGUUUCUCUUUUGGUUCCUUUAAUAAGUUCAAGAACAGACAGGAAAACAUAAUUUCUUGUAUAUAUUCAUUAAACAAAAGCAUGUUGCUUUAUCUGUUAACUGGUUAGGGUUUCUUGUUAUUGGAGGUCAAGUUCUUUGUGUUUCAGAGUUUGUCAUGUUUCUUUUUUCCUGCUAAGGAAGAAGUUUCUGAAUUAUAAAGUUAUGUUGUUUUUAUUUUCCUCAUUGAAUUCCUUGGUCAAUCAUGCAGACUGAGCUGAAAAGAUUGGAAUUUAAUGAGAUUUCAUGGAAGCAAAAACAACUUGCUAAUUUGUUACAUAUCUUAUUCUGGUCAGUUCUCAUUUUCUUUAGCUCUAUUAUUACUUUUUGGUGUUGUGUUCAUAUACAAUU
rnacentral:lncRNA from 1 species